AGCAGUCGUCUUCGAUGGAUAGUCGUCUGAACUUUCCUUUAAUGUUGCCUGCAAGUUUACGAGCUGAUAUGUCACCUAAGUCCAUACAGAAAGCAGCUUCUGAUGCUGGCAUGGCAAUUGAUGCCCACAUGAUACUAAACAGGUCUCGAUCACCUGAUAGUGAAUCUAGAGGCAAUGAAGGUGGUUCUUCAGGUCAUGGGUCAUCGGAGACAGACGUAAAUAGGGAACAUACCAUGGGUAACUGUGGGAAUUGGGAGGGA
rnacentral:misc_RNA from 1 species